rnacentral:rRNA from 1 species
CACUCCUGCGGGAGGCAGCAGUGAGGAAUAUUGGACAAUGGGUGGAAGCCUGAUCCAGCCAUCCCGCGUGCAGGAAGACGGCCCUAUGGGUUGUAAACUGCUUUUAUCUGGGGAUAAACCUACUUACGUGUAAGUAGCUGAAGGUACCAGAAGAAUAAGCACCGGCUAACUCCGUGCCAGCAGCCGCGGUAAUACGGAGGGUGCAAGCGUUAUCCGGAUUUAUUGGGUUUAAAGGGUCCGUAGGCGGACUGAUAAGUCAGUGGUGAAAUCCGACAGCUUAACUGUCGAACUGCCAUUGAUACUGUUAGUCUUGAGUAAGGUUGAAGUGGCUGGAAUAAGUAGUGUAGCGGUGAAAUGCAUAGAUAUUACUUAGAACACCAAUUGCGAAGGCAGGUCACUAAGUCUUAACUGACGCUGAUGGACGAAAGCGUGGGGAGCGAACAGGAUUAGAAACCCUUGUAGUCC